AUGGAAGAUGACAUCUCCGCGAAAACGAAAAUGACGAUCUGUCAAGAACUGAGAAACUGUCCUCAUUCUUUUCAAACAAGUUUUGGAGCCUGGCUGUCCCCGUCUAAUGUCCUAGGACAUGACACUGUGCCCCCUCCCGUCAUCUAUGCAGACUUCCCACAGGCAGCUUCUCAGGGCAUCAGACCCUGCGGUCAGACUCACCGGCCUGCGCGCCUCGGCCAGGUCCCUGCUGGGGAAGAUAAGGGGCGCGGGUGUAGCUCGGGAGAUGCUCCAGGUUGGUCUUCAAGAAGAGAAGACGCUCAGCCAUCUCCCCUGGGAGAGGGGAGUCAUGCUCCACGAUGGUGGCCAGUCUCGCCAGGUCUGGCCGGACGUCCCGCCGCUUCUGCCAGUAAGCAGGCGGUCCUCCUGGGCCCCCACCGUCUCGUCUCGCGCAGCUACUUCCUGCGGAUGCUGCUGACCAGGUGGCUCCCCGUGGAAAGGGAAGUGCUGCUCCCCUCCGAGACCAGCAGCCCCCCGCUCUCCACCUGCUCCGGGAGUCUCCUCUCCCUCUGGCCCAGCAGCAAGGACCCAGAGGUCCCACUUCUCUGCUCGGGCGCUUCCCGGCCCUUCCCUUCGGCCCCAGGGCUCCUGGCUCCUGCGCGGCUCAGGGGCAUCCACACGCACAGCAGUGGGGCCCUGCAGGGAAGGGGAGGGCGGCAGGAGUACUCAGACACCACGAGCUCCUUCACCUCGUACGCGAGAACUUGCUUCCAAUGGUUGAUGUCGGCCCCCUCGGGGAGGGCAGCCUCUAUCCUGCCCUUGAAGCAGGGUCCAGCAGGGUCGCCAGCACGAACUCCUCACGGUGGAAGAGCUCAGGGAGCUGGUGGUCUGUGGAGAGCUGCAGGGCCAGGCCCUCGGCCAGCGGCACGGCCGCGCCCAUCUCCCCGGUGCUCCACUCCUCAAAGCGCCCGUGAACCUGCGCCAGGAAGACGUGCAGGUAGCGCAGCUGGGGCAGCACCAGGCUCAAGGCGGCCUGCGCGGCGCUCGCCUCCCGGACCACCAUCCAGAAGGGCUGCGGGAGCUUGA
rnacentral:lncRNA from 1 species